rnacentral:rRNA from 1 species
GACGAACGCUGGCGGCGUGCUUAACACAUGCAAGUCGAACGGAAAGGCCCUGCUUGUGUGGGGUGCUCGAGUGGCGAACGGGUGUGUAACACGUGAGUAACCUGCCCUUGACUUUGGGAUAACUUCAGGAAACUGGGGCUAAUACCGGAUAGGAGCUCCUGCUGCAUGGUGGGGGUUGGAAAGUUUCGGUGGUUGGGGAUGGACUCGCGGCUUAUCAGCUUGUUGGUGGGGUAGUGGCUUACCAAGGCUUUGACGGGUAGCCGGCCUGAGAGGGUGACCGGCCACAUUGGGACUGAGAUACGGCCCAGACUCCUACGGGAGGCAGCAGUGGGGAAUAUUGCACAAUGGGCGGAAGCCUGAUGCAGCAACGCCGCGUGCGGGAUGACGGCCUUCGGGUUGUAAACCGCUUUCGCCUGUGACGAAGCGUGAGUGACGGUAAUGGGUAAAGAAGCACCGGCUAACUACGUG